GGCCAAUGAAGUAUGCAGAGAUUAUUUCAGCCGAAGAAUGGGAUAACUUUGUCGCCAAACGAAGAAACGAAAAAUUCCAUGAAGUAAGCGAUAAAAAUCGGAAAAGGGCAUCAAAACCCGCGUAUCCGUACAAAAAAGGGCGUACGGGAUAUGCACGGUUACAACAAAGAAUUCUAGCCGAGGAGAAAAGUGACGCAACAUCUCUUCCGGAGCACGUAUUGUGGAAGGCUGCUCGGGUUGGGAAGGAUGGGGCUGUCGUUGAAGCGGUUCAAAAUGUUUAUGACGAAUGUG